rnacentral:rRNA from 1 species
AUCAACUUUCGAUGGUAGGAUAGAGGCCUACCAUGGUGGUAACGGGUAACGGGGUGUUAGGGCACGACACCGGAGAGGGAGCCUGAGAAACGGCUACCACAUCCAAGGAUGGCAGCAGGCGCGCAAAUUACCCAAUCCCGACACGGGGAGGUAGUGACAAUAAAUAACAAUACGGGGUCCUUUGGGUCUCGUAAUUGGAAUGAGUACAAUUUAAAUCUCUUAACGAGGAACAAUUGGAGGGCAAGUCUGGUGCCAGCAGCCGCGGUAAUUCCAGCUCCAAUAGCGUAUAUUAAAGUUGUUGCAGUUAAAAAGCUCGUAGUUGAAUUUCGGGAUUAGUAGAUUGGUCGUGCCUUUGGUAUGUACUGGUCUUACUGAUUCCUCCUUCUUGAUGAACUGUAAUGCCAUUAAUUUGGUGUCAUGGGGAAUCUAGACUGUUACUUUGAAAAAAUUAGAGUGUUUAAAGCAGGCUUACGCUUGAAUACAUUAGCAUGGAAUAAUGAAAUAGGACGUUCGAUCCUAUUUUGUUGGUUUCUAGGAUUGACGUAAUGAUUAAUAGGGAUAGUUGGGGGCAUUAGUAUUCAAUUGUCAGAGGUGAAAUUCUUGGAUUUAUUGAAGACUGACUACUGCGAAAGCAUUUGCCAAGGAUGUUUUCAUUAAUCAAGAACGAAAGUUAGGGGAUCGAAGACGAUCAGAUACCGUCGUAGUCUUAACCAUAAACUAUGCCGACUAGGGAUCGGAUGAUGUUAAUUUUUUAAUGACUCAUUCGGCGCCUUACGGGAAACCAAAGUGUUUGGGUUC